rnacentral:rRNA from 1 species
UCGAGAAUCUUCGGCAAUGGGGGAAACCCUGACCGAGCGACGCCGCGUGCGAGAUGAAGGCCUUCGGGUUGUAAAUCGCUGUCAGAGGGGAGGAAAUGCCGGUGGGUUCUCCCACCGGUUUGACCUAUCCUCAGAGGAAGGACGGGCUAAGUUCGUGCCAGCAGCCGCGGUAAGACGAACCGUCCAAACGUUAUUCGGAAUCACUGGGCUUAAAGGGCGCGUAGGCGGCCCGGAAAGUUGGGUGUGAAAGCCCUCGGCUCAACCGAGGAAUUGCGCCCAAAACUGCCGGGCUUGAGGGAGACAUAGGUGAGCGGAACCUAGGGUGGAGCGGUGAAAUGCGUUGAGAUCCUAGGGAACACCAGUAGCGAAAGCGGCUCACUGGGUCUCUUCUGACGCUGAGUGCACGAAAGCCAGGGGAGCGAAGAG